AUUGAACGCUGGCGGCAGGCCUAACACAUGCAAGUCGAACGAGUGGCGGCCGGGUGAGUAAUGUCCGGGUAACUGCCCGAUGGAGGGGGAUAACUACUGGAAACGGUAGCUACUACCGCAUACCAUCGGAUGUGCCCAGAUGGGAUUAGCUAGUCGGUGGGGUAACGGCUCACCUAGGCGACGAUCCCUCGCUGGUGUGAGAGGAUGACCAGCCACACUGGAACUUAGGAACGGUGCAGACUCUUGCGUGAGGGCGCAGUGGGGAAUAGUGGACAAUGGGCGCGAGCCUGAUGCAGCCGAGCCGCGUGUAUGAAGAAGGCCUUCGGGUUGUAAGGUCGUUUAAGCGAGGAGGGGUUACUCGCAGUAGAAGCACCGGCUAACUCCGUGCCAGCAGCCGCGGUAAUUC
rnacentral:rRNA from 1 species